GACGAACGCUGGCGGCGUGCUUAACACAUGCCAGUCGAACGGGCCUUGUCCCCUUUUUUUUGGGGGUGGGGUUAGUGGCGAACGGGUGAGUAACACGUGAGUAACCUGCCCCUCACUUCUGGAUAACCGCUUGAAAGGGUGGCUAAUACGGGGUGUUCUGGCCUGCUCGCAUGGGUGGGUUUGGAAAGAUUCGACCGGUUUUGGUUGUUUUGGUGGGGGAUGGGCUCGCGGCCUAUCAGCUUGUUGGUGGGGUGAUGGCCUGCCAAGGCUUUGACGGGUAGCCGGCCUGAGAGGGUGGGCGGUCACACUGGGACUGAGACACGGCCCAGACUCCUACGGGAGGCAGCAGUGGGGAAUAUUGCACAAUGGGCGCAAGCCUGAUGCAGCGACGCCGCGUGAGGGAUGGAGGCCUUCGGGUUGUGAACCUCUUUCGCCAGUGAAGAAGGUCCUGCUCUUUGUGGUGGGGUUGACGGUAGCUAGGUUAAUGAAGCGCCGGCUAACUACGUG
rnacentral:rRNA from 1 species